CCUACGGGUGGCAGCAGUGGGGGAUAUUGCACAAUGGGGGGAACCCUGAUGCAGCGACGCCGCGUGGGUGAAGAAGCGCCUCGGCGCGUAAAGCCCUGUUAGCAGGGAAGAAAAUGACCGUAAGUGAAGAAGAAGCCCCGGCUAACUACGUGACAGCAGCCGCGGGCAUACGGAGGGGGGAAGCGUUAACCGGAAUUCAUGGGUGUAAAGGGGGCGGAGACGGGGAUGCAAGCCCGGAGUGAAAGCCCGGGGUCCAACCCCGGGACGGCUCUUGGAACUGGGUGGCUGGAGUGCAGGAGGGGCAGGCGGAAUUCCUGGUGUAGCGGUGAAAUGCGUAGAUAUCAGGAGGAACACCGGUGGCGAAGGCGGCCUACUGGACUGCAACUGACGUUGAGGCCCGAAAGCGUGGGGAGCAAACAGGAUUAGAUACCCCGGUAGUC
rnacentral:rRNA from 1 species